rnacentral:rRNA from 1 species
GACGAACGCUGGCGGCGUGCCUAAUACAUGCAAGUCGAACGCUUCUUUCCUCCCGAGUGCUUGCACUCGAUUGGAACGAGGAGUGGCGGACGGGUGAGUAACACGUGGGUAACCUACCCAUCAGAGGGGGAUAACACUUGGAAACAGGUGCUAAUACCGCAUAACAGUUUAUGCCGCAUGGCAUAAGAGUGAAAGGCGCUUUCGGGUGUCGCUGAUGGAUGGACCCGCGGUGCAUUAGCUAGUUGGUGAGGUAACGGCUCACCAAGGCCACGAUGCAUAGCCGACCUGAGAGGGUGAUCGGCCACACUGGGACUGAGACACGGCCCAGACUCCUACGGGAGGCAGCAGUAGGGAAUCUUCGGCAAUGGACGAAAGUCUGACCGAGCAACGCCGCGUGAGUGAUGAAGGUUUUCGGAUCGUAAAACUCUGUUGUUAGAGAAGAACAAGGACGUUAGUAACUGAACGUCCCCUGACGGUAUCUAACCAGAAAGCCACGGCUAACUACGUG